GAUGAACGCUAGCUACAGGCUUAACACAUGCAAGUCGAGGGGUAACGAGAGGAAAGCUUGCUUUCCUUGUCGACGACCGGCGCACGGGUGAGUAACGCGUAUCCAACCUGCCCCCAACUAGGGAAUAACCUUGCGAAAGUAAGACUAAUACCCUAUAAUUUCCUCAGAUGUCAUCUGACGAGGAAUAAAGAUUUACCGGUUGUGGAUGGGGAUGCGUCUGAUUAGCUUGUUGGCGGGGUAACGGCCCACCAAGGCAACGAUCAGUAGGGGUUCUGAGAGGAAGGUCCCCCACAUUGGAACUGAGACACGGUCCAAACGCCUGCGGGAGGCAGCAGUGAGGAAUAUUGGUCAAUGGGCGGAAGCCUGAACCAGCCAAGUAGCGUGCAGGAUGACGGCCCUAUGGGUUGUAAACUGCUUUUAUACAGGAAUAAAGUUAGCCACGUGUGGUUAUUUGUAGGUACUGUAUGAAUAAGGACCGGCUAAUUCCGUGCCAGCCGCCGCGGUAA
rnacentral:rRNA from 1 species